rnacentral:lncRNA from 1 species
UCCCCUUCCACACUGUGAAAGCUUUGUUCUUUCGCUCUUUGCAAUAAAUCUUGCUACUGCUCACUCGUUGGGUCCACGCUGCUUUUAUGAGCCGUAACACUCACCGCGAAGAUCUGCAGGUUCACUCCUGAGCCCAGCGAGACCACGAACCCACCGGGAGGAACGAACAACUCCAGACGCGCUGCCUUAAGAGCUGUAACACUCACUGCGAAGGUCUGCAGCUUCACUCCUGAGCCAGCGAGACCACGAACCCACCAGAAGGAAGAAACUCCGAACACAUCUGAACAUCAGAAAGGACAGACUCCAGACGCGCCACCUUAAGAGCUGUAACACUCACCGCGAGGGUCCGUGGGUUCAUUCUUGAAGUCAGUGAGACCAAGAACCCACCAAUUCUGGGGACACUACCAUGGCUCCAGGACUCAGUUCUUCACAGACCUAGCUUCUGGACUAGCAACCAUACACCCAGCCUCCAGGCUGGCACCAGUGGACACAGGCUACAGAUGGAGUUUUGCUCUUGUUGCCCAGGCUGGAGUGCAAUGGCGCGAUCUCGUCUCACUGCAACCUUCACCUCCCGGGUUCAAGCGAUUGUCCUGCCUCAGCCUCCCAAGUAGCUGGGAUUACAGGUGCGUGCCAUCACGCCUGGCUAAUUUUUUGUGUUUUUAGUAGAGAUGGGGUUUAACCAUGUUGUUGAGGCUGGUCUCAAACUCCUGACCUCAGGUGAUCCAACUGCCUUGGCUUCCCAAAGUGCUGGGAUUACUGGCAUGAAAUACAUGACGAAUCUUAAUCAAAAUGGCAGAGCAGGUGUUUGGCUGAUGUGGUGAUGGGGUAAAAUCAAUUUGUGAUUCAUACAGCCUUCCAACUUCACAACUAUGCCAUUCUUAAAGGAUUUUUCAUGGAAGGGGGCUUCACAUCAGGUGCUUACUCCUUAGUGCAGCUGAUCAAUACACUCAAUACAUGUCUGCAAACUUUAAAGGAAUUUAUGCAGCAGAUCCAAGUCUUAAAGGCUAUUUAAAAAAAAAGCAAACAAACCUAGAAACAAAGUUCAUAAAGCAAAACCAUAGCAAAACAAAGAUUCAGGCAGAAAGAUGUUCAUGAUAACACUGGAAAACAGUAAGAUCAAAUGAAAACAGAAAGAAUGAUUACAUAAAUCAUGCCAAUACCUUCAAUAAAAUCCUGUUCCUCUGUUACAAAGAAGGGAUAGAUAUAGAUACACUGUCAUGAGAGGAUAAUAUACUACUAAGGUAGAAAAAGUAAACUGCAAAAUAUUAUACAUGAUAUAAACACAUUGUUUGGAAAAAUAUAUAUGUAGAGAAAAGAAGUACAUGUACAGAAAAGAAAAAUGGUAGAAGAUCUGUUGAUAGUAUGUCCUCAGGAGGUGGAAAAUGGGGGACUUACACAUUUUACAAAUUGUAUGUCUAUAGAGUUUGAAUUUUAUGUAAUGUACCUGUAUUGUUUUUCUAAUUAACUCUUCAGGUGGGGGAACAGGUAAACCUGUGAAGAAGGAAUCAUCUGAAACACUCUCCCACUAACUUUUUUCUCUUGCUCUUUUAGUGGGUAAUGUUUUGGAAUAUUAACCAUAAGUUUUCAAUUCAGUACCAUCCCUCAUUCAAUCUUUUAUUUUUUGGUCUCGGGGAAGACAGAGCAAUACUUAAUACCUACAAAGACAAUGGCCAGUUCUUUCAGUUGACCCUUUCCAGGGUAAAACAACGGAUUGGAAAUAAUGCACAAUAAGGAAAUGCCGAAGCCCGGCUCCUCAGCAUCAUCCCAUCCCUUUCACUAUUCCCAAAAUAGAUUUGGGGGAUCUUAUAGCGCAAGAGUCCUGACUCCAAAACAGCCUGGCCAGGAAUAAGUACACAUCAACAUCCUGGUCCUAAAUAUGAAACACCCCCCACCCUUAUCCCUCAUAACUUGGAUGCAACCCUUGUAAGGGAAAAGGAGGGUUGGAAGGAGCAUGAACCUAAAAUGCCUGAAAAUUAUUAGGGCAACCUGCCAAACUGUAGUCGCAAAAGAACAAAUAGUUAUUGGAAAUUAAGCAAUUACAUGGUUCAUAGCCCUGAAUUAUUAGAAUUAAAUUUAUACUUACUAUUUAAUUUCAGCUCCUUUUCUAAAAAGCACUGAACUGCUUUAACUGAAACACUGUAAUUUUCUUAAUUGUACUUAAAUAUGUUUCUUUUCUUUUAAAUUUUCUGCCUACUUUGCAUAAAAUGAGGUAGCCAAGACCACCUUAAAGUUCUCAGCUUGACUUGAAAAGGCUUUUUCCUGACUCUAGGCCCAAAACUUUCUUUUCUUAGAGCAUGAUAUGGUUUGACUCUGUGUCCACACCCAAAUCUCAUCUUGUAGCUCCCAUAAUUCCCACGUGUUAUGGGAGGGACCCUGUGAGUGAUGACUGAAUCAUGGGGAUGGG